UUAGUGUUUAAUAUUUCCUUGACAUUUUUCAUGUUUAUCACUUGCGAUGCAUAUGAAACAUGCACUACAUGAUUAUAAUUUAUACUUUGUAAUGAAUAUUUACCGUUUAUCUUUUCUUGUGCAUAUGCAUAACCUUUUGCUAAUCUUGGAACUUGUAGAAAUGAAUUUAAUUUUCCUGACAAACCAGCAAGCAACGACACGUUUGCUGAUAGUUUUCCAUCAUUUUGUUUAACUAUUUCGUAAAAAAUGCUUGAAAAUAAUGGCAAAAAUGGAUCGGGCAGCUGAAAUUGUAUGCAGAGUAAGUUCCAUCCAGCGUUCGAAUGGUGGCAGCGGGAGACCUUCAAAGCCGGAUGUGACCAGUAGAAAGCCCAUUCCAGAGCGCGAUCGAAUGUGCGACAUUUCCAAAAUUACUUUUAUUCUGACAAGGAGUACCACACGAAGCAGACCGUGUUCCGUCGAAUUCUUGCAAACUUCUCUCCCUGGAUUACACCUCAUAUGGUCGAUAAACGCAAGCAGCUAUUCAAAUCUCGAUUCAAAUGUACGUAAUUUACUCUCCAUCGGACCACGGAGUGAGUCAAGGACACUCAAGAAAACAUGGACUGGUAUGCAGGAUGAUGUCGAAUCGAGAACGCGGUGAGCUACACGAUGAACCAAUACGACUUGGGUGAAGCCAGCUAAUGUGUAUUUAUAAUAUGGUUUUGUAUUUAAUGUGAUCCUUAAUCAGAUGUGUAAUAAUUGGUUCAAUAAAUAUAAAUUAUUCGCGGAAUAAUAUCGUGAGAUUUUUCAUUUGCUUACAAAAACGAA